AUGGAGGUGAAGUUACCAAGAAAAAGGGACGUCCCAAGGAAAACGAUUCUGAUUUCCUGUCAUCAAUUGAAAAUGUUAUGCUUGGGAUGUGUCCAAAUGAUCGUGGUUGUUGAUUACACAGAUGUGAUAUCUAUGCAGAAUUGGUCGCAUCUGCAUGCUGUUCUUGAACAACUAAAUCAUUUGCCAUCAAAAGAGCAUGUAACCAAUGUGAUGCGGAUCAGGCCAUGGUACCUGGAUGAGCAAGCACGGUACUAUCGGCAAACAAUAAUCUUAAGUUCGUAUCUUACGCCAGAGAUGAAUGCUUUGUUCAACGGAUUAUGUCGAAAUUACGAGGGGAAGGUUAAGCUGGCGACUGAGUUUACAGGUGUUCUUCCCAAAAUACAGCUUGAAAUACGGCAGGUGUAUGAACGAUUUGAUGCAUCUUCUAUUGGUGAACUUGAUGAUGCCCGCUUUGAAUAUUUCUGCACAAAGGUGUACCCAAAGAUUCAGGAGUCAGAUGAGGGCGGAGUGCUGCUAUUCGCCAGUUCCUAUUUUGAAUACAUUAGGCUGAGCAGUUUUUUAAAAUCUCAGGAUGCUUCUUUCUGUAGAAUUGGGGAGGCGACAUCACAACAGGAUAUAUCUCGUGCAAGGCUCUGGUUCUUUGAGGGCCAGAAGAAGAUCUUGCUUUAUAGCGAGAGAUCUCACUUCUUCCACAGAUACAAGAUCAGGGGAGGACAUCAUUUGGUCGUCUACUCAUUGCCAGGGAGAAAAGAUUUCUAUCCAGAGCUUGUAAAUAUGCUCGGUGAAUCAGGAAAUCCUAGGUGCAAUGUGUUUUUUUCUCGGCUGGACCUCCUUAAGCUGGAGCGGAUCGUUGGAACGUCGUCUGCACGGAGGCUGAUUUCUUCCGAUAAGGAUAUGUUUGUCUUCUGCUGA
rnacentral:rRNA from 1 species